rnacentral:rRNA from 1 species
GACGUAGGGCGCAAGCGUUGUCCGGAUUUAUUGGGCGUAAAGAGCUCGUAGGCGGCUUGUUGCGUCGGCUGUGAAAACCCGUGGCUUAACUGCGGGCUUGCAGCCGAUACGGGCGGGCUGGAGUUCGGUAGGGGAGACUGGAAUUCCUGGUGUAGCGGUGAAAUGCGCAGAUAUCAGGAGGAACACCGGUGGCGAAGGCGGGUCUCUGGGCCGAUACUGACGCUGAGGAACGAAAGCGUGGGGAGCGAACAGG